AACCUAAACAACCCUCCUCUGUGCGCCGCUCUGCGUUCUGAGAGCAUUCGAACGGUCUUCGAUCUCAGCCCCUUCUCCGAUGAUGAUGGAGAGAACCAUGAUCGCGCCAUCAGGUAACUCCUUUCUCUAAUUUUACUUUCUCUUUUAUUUUACACUAGCUAUAAACAAAAGAAUAAAAGGAAAAUAGAAAAAAAAACGAAGAGAAACUUAAAAAAAAACUUUGCGAAACUUAGUUUUCUUUGAAUCUUUUUUCCUUGUUUCUGUAUUCAAUCUGUGUAAAAAAGGAAGAAAAGGCCCCUGUUACAGAAAAUGAAUCGGCUUUUUAUAGCCAAAGCCAAAAGAAAAGAAAAAUACAUAAUAAAAAAACAAAAAUCCCUUCUCCUCUCUAUUCUUUUUUUUUUCUUUUUGCUCUUUUUUUUGUUUUCUUUUUGUUGUUGGUUGUUUGUUUGUUUGCUGUGCAGGUACGGCGUACGAAGGCCAGCUGGAGGCGCGUGGAGGCACUGCAUGCGUGGAGAGUGGCUUGGCACGCGCGGAGGAUGGCCUUGGUGGCUGCGGCGCUGGAAGCUGUUGCUGCUAGGGUUUCUUUGAAACUGCUUUGGGCUUGUAUUGGGCUAACGGUUUGGGUAGUUUAGGUUAAAUGAUUUGGGGUUAUUGGGCUAGGCUAGUGGGUUAAAACGAUUUGGGCCACGUUGGGCCCAUGUAUUUGGACUGUGGACUUUUAGAUUUUGGUUUGGUUUAUUUUAUUUUUUUAUAUUUUUGUUUAUUUAUUUCUGAUUUGGGCCGGGCAAUAUUGGGCCAUUACAUGGAUGAUUGGAUUUUGAGACAUAUUGAUUUCUUUGUGUAGGGUGAUUUCAG
rnacentral:lncRNA from 1 species